rnacentral:rRNA from 1 species
UACGAAGGGUGCAAGCGUUAAUCGGAAUUACUGGGCGUAAAGCGCGCGUAGGUGGUUCAGUAAGUUGGAAGUGAAAUCCCCGGGCUCAACCUGGGAACUGCUUUCAAAACUGCUGAGCUAGAGUACGGUAGAGGGUGGUGGAAUUUCCUGUGUAGCGGUGAAAUGCGUAGAUAUAGGAAGGAACACCAGUGGUGAAGGCGACCACCUGGACUGAUACUGACACUGAGGUGCGAAAGCGUGGGGAGCAAACAGG